CCUCCCUCGAGCCUGGACUAAUGACAAAGCAGCCAGGUUUUCAAACUGGAAAACUUUGGAAAUGGAAGCAAAGUCAUCAGCAGCGGUGGUCUUUCCACUUCAAGUGGAAAUGGCAAAAGCCCUGGAGGCUCUCAGAAUGGGUAAGGCAUGGUGAGGAAUCCAUUGAAAGAGUGAGGCCUUCCAAAGUGGUCGGUCUGCUGGAGAUGACUUGAUCAAUCGAGGAAGGCAGAUGCUGAAUGCACAAGCCUGCUUGGCAGGGUAUGGGGAAAGGAGCCACAGGUUACAGAUUCGAUGUGAGGCAUAGAGACCGGUGGAAGCGAUUGCGAGUCUGAAAGGAAUCGAGAUGUAUCAAGGAUACAUUGAAACAUACACAAUACACACAGCUACUACACACAUACAACACACAAACACACAGCAAGCAACCAAGCAACUUGGACGAUACAUAUAAAGUUUUUAUACGGCGGAUGUAUAGCAACAUAUUUUUACUCGUGCCGCGUGAACUUCCCGUAUUUUGUUGAGAUGAUUCAGAGAGCUAUCCAGGUAAGCUGUUUAAUCUCUUGCCUGUGUCUAGCGAUGUCAUUUUAAUUUGCUUCCAUGCGUGUGUGUUUGAAGGAAGUGAAACACAUUUCGUAUAAAAUGCCUCUGAAAUGUCAAGUUCUUAUCGUUCUUUGCAGAAAAAUGUGAUUUUUGGAGCGGCAGUUUUGAGAGAAGAAAGCAUCCCAGGUAUGAGAGCAAUUUCUGGGCACUGGACAGACUUUCACGGAGUCCAUGAAAACUUCCACUCCUAGAUCGAGUUGUCCAGCCAUGAAGCAGGGAGACUCGAGGUUGACGGGUUUACGUCAAGAAGAAAGCAGCAAGGUCGAGCUAUAGACGUUCUACCUGUGGACAAGCUGAGCGAGUUCUUGGAUAGAGAACAGGGCAGUGUCCAGGAGGUAACUUUGGCGGUCCAGUUCCAGCAGAAGUGCUUCCAGGACGAUUCGGGAGAGCUGGCCCCCGCGGACGUGCACAAGAUGGCUGGAGAUCACUGCAGCUGAGAAGGGCGAGCUGUUCGUGUUUGGAGCAGAACGGGAAACGAAGAUAAACACCUGGUUGCUCAGGCUCAAGAGUAGCGCUAGAUGAAAUGGUUCCUGCUAAAACCAAGCAGCUUAUCAUUAUAAGUUUUGGUAUGCU